rnacentral:rRNA from 1 species
CGAACAGGAUUAGAUACCCUGGCAGUCCACGCCCUAAACGAUGUCUACUGGUUGUUGGGGGAGUGAAAUCCCUUAGUAACGAAGCUAACGCGUGAAGUAGACCGCCUGGGGAGUACGGUCGCAAGAUUAAAACUCAAAGGAAUUGACGGGGACCCGCACAAGCGGUGGAUGAUGUGGAUUAAUUCGAUGCAACGCGAAGAACCUUACCUACCCUUGACAUGUCCGAAACUUGCCAGAGAUGGCUUGGUGCCCGAAAGGGAAUCGGAACACAGGUGCUGCAUGGCUGUCGUCAGCUCGUGUCGUGAGAUGUUGGGUUAAGUCCCGCAACGAGCGCAACCCUUGUCCUUAGUUGCUACGCAAGGGCACUCUAAGGAGACUGCCGGUGACAAACCGGAGGAAGGUGGGGAUGACGUCAAGUCCUCAUGGCCCUUAUGGGUAGGGCUUCACACGUCAUACAAUGGUCGGUACAGAGGGUUGCCAAGCCGCGAGGUGGAACCAAUCCCACAAAGCCGAUCGUAGUCCGGAUUGUUCUCUGCAACUCGAGAGCAUGAAGUCGGAAUCGCUAGUAAUCGCAGGUCAGCAUACUGCGGUGAAUACGUUCCCGGGUCUUGUACACACCGCCCGUCACACCAUGGGAGUGGGUUGCUCCAGAAGUAGGUAGCCUAACCGCGAGGGGGGCGCUUACCACGGAGUGAUUCAUGACUGGGGUGAAGUCGUAACAAGGUAACCGUA